GAUGAACGCUGGCGGCGUGCCUAAUACAUGCAAGUCGAACGCACAGCGAAAGGUGCUUGCACCUUUCAAGUGAGUGGCGAACGGGUGAGUAACACGUGGAUAACCUACCUCAAGGUUGGGGAUACAUUUGGAAACAGAUGCUAAUACCGAAUAAAACUUAGUAUCGCAUGAUACCAGGUUAAAAGGCGCUACGGCGUCACCUAGAGAUGGAUCCGCGGUGCAUUAGUUAGUUGGUGGGGUAAAGGCGUUACCAAGACAAUGAUGCAUAGCCGAGUUGAGAGACUGAUCGGCCAC
rnacentral:rRNA from 1 species